GGCCAGGUGGCAGAGUGGUAAUGCAUGUGAGAUAAAUACAGCACCUGCAAUGUUUCCUUGUAAGGUCUCUGUUCGAUUCGGGGUCUGGCCU